AUGAUGACGAAAGAUAUGGUGGAGCAUGCGAGUCGUAUCUUAGAGCGAUGUCGGGGCCUUCCACUUGCUAUAGCCACCAUAGGAGGUUUAUUGGCUAACAGGCCCAAAACAAGCAGAGAAUGGAUGGAUUUGCGGCAACAUCUUGGGUCAGAGCUAGAGUCAGACCGAGAUAUCAAAAGAGUUAUCACCUCAAGCUAUGAUGGGCUGCCAUAUCAUCUCAAGUGUUGCUUCUUGUACCUAAGUAUCUUCCCCGAGAACCAUGAGAUUAGGCUUACCCGCUUAUUGCGGCGGUGGAUAGCUGAAGGCUAUAUAACAAAGCCACGUGACAUGAGCGUCGAGGAACUUGGACGGAGGUACUACAAUGAGCUCAUCAGUAGAAGUAUGAUCCAGCCUUCGGAGGAGGCCAGGGCUAGCAUGGCGGUUGAACGCUGUCGUGUUCAUAGUGUGGUGCUCCAAAUAAUCAUGUCCAAAUCUAUUGAGGAGAACCAGCUCUUCAUCAUGGAUAAGCACUGCAAUGAGGGUCCACAAACUAAGGUACGCCACUUGGUAGUGACAAGGUGGAAGAGAAAUGAAAAGAUGGCAAGCAUAAACUUUUCUCAGGUACGAUCAUUGACAAUCUUUGGAAGGUGCCCUAUGUCCCUCAUCUCCUCCGAAUUGCGCUUGUUGAGAGUUCUUGACUUGGAAGACACACUUGAGCUAGAGAAUGAUGAUCUCAAGCACAUCGGGGAGCUGCACCAUCUAAGAUACCUUGGUCUGCGAAAGACAAAUAUUUCAAGACUUCCUUCCUCUCUGCAGAACCUCGGGUUCCUAGAGACAUUGGAUGUUCAAGACACAAAAGUGACACAACUACCAGUUGGUAUCAUCAAACUGGAGAAGCUACGUCACCUUGUGAAUGGAGUCAACUUUGCCAAAGAUUUUGCAGCGAAGACGAGGAAAAUGAAGGAAGAAGCAAAAUGUAAUGGUGGUCCCUUUCAAACCUUUGUAGACUUGGUUACCGGGUGCUUUGGUUACGAUCAUGUUUGCUCAAGUUGCGCAUGUGAGUUUAGUGUAACAGCUCCAGAGGGAAAUCAGGGAAUCGAGAAGCUAAGGAACCUACAAGUGCUAGGGGUGGUGCACAUUGCACAAGGAAGCGGAGUGGCCAGAGACUUGGGUAAGCUCACCAGCUUGCGCAGAUUAGGUGUGGAGGUACAAAUGGUCGGGGAAGAAGGGAAGGAUUUAUGCAGUAUGCAGCUCAAUAGCAAAUCUUGUUCAUCUGGAACGACUUGA
rnacentral:rRNA from 1 species